CCCUUCCCAGCCCUCAUUUGAGGGCUGGCAGUGGAGGGGAGAGUAACCUGCUGGAGAUCCCUGAGUACCUGAGGCCUUCUGAAGCGUGGUGUGGAGGUGUUCCUCAUCAGCAUGGGUGGUCUUCAUUCAUUGCCAAACCUAUGCACCGUGCAGCAACUUCCCUGCUUGUUUUCCUACAUCCGGUGAAGCAAAAGCAAACUCUUUGCUGAAAUGUUCUUCGCCAUCAGCUCAGAGCCCACCCUUCUGGACUCCCUCUGCUCCACCAGCAGCUUCCAUGCGUUGGGUUUCUUCACUGCCAAACAGAGCCAGCAGCAGCCCGACCUGCCAGCCACCAGCAGCAGAUGUUCCCUUCCUACAGCCUGGCUAAUGAUCAGCAGAUGUUGCUCCCAGAGGAAACGAGGAUAUUUUCAGCAUCUCUCUCUAACAAGGGCUCAGACGGAGCCCCUGGGCGGCAGGGACUGCCUCUUGUUCAGACCCAGCACUCUGCAAACUCCUUUUUCCAUCUCACUCCAUCAGCUCUUGGAGGGUUCGAAACCACCGGGGCAUUGCACGAAGUUCCCAUCCCUGCAGCCCUUCCUUUCCGUGGGAUGCGGAUGGGGAAGGGAUGCGUCUGCUCUGCUCCAGGUUUUGCUUUGUUCUUGACAGCAUCUCCAGCUGCACACGAAGUCCGCCGCUAUUUUGAGGUCCCUCUCCUUCCCCUCCAUCCCCAGGGGCUUCUAGCUGAGCAGCAGAAUAGAAAACGACAGAUUAUUGCUGCAUCUCACUGAGCCUCUCUCUUGCACAUAGAAGAAAGACGGUCCAUUUUGCUCCCAAGCGUUUUGAAAGGGAGUCAGCACGGGAAAUGCCAGGAAGGAACUGCACUUUUUCCAACCCUUUGUGCUUUUUGCUGCCCCGGUAUCUCCCCAGGAUGCUGCCCUGGCUGCAGUGCCCCACGUCCCACUGAAGACCCACACCAUCCCCUUGGAUGCUUCCUAUCUAUUCCCCAAAGCCUGAGAGCAGCACGAAGCACUGUGAGCCCUGGUAGCAUCCUGCUUGGUCUGCAUACCAGCUCUAAUCUUGCUUCUCAUUCAUACAUCUUAUUUAUUCCUCUUGGGUAACAACCAUUAAUCUGCAGCUGUACUUCUUUUACCCUCCACUUGGCAACCUUUUUUUGGCUAAACGGGUGCAAGUUUACUUAGGCAAUUAUGCUGCUGGAUGUGUAUUUACAGGGAUUCUUCAUUUCUGCAUUUGAUUAUGGUGUGUUACAGGGAAUGAUGCAUUUCCUUUUUAUGAGAUUGUUAUUAAUUUUAGACUCACAAUUUGAGUCGUGGUCCAUGUGGAUGGAAAUUGGUUUUCAAUUUAAAACACGUAAAAACCAGCAUCAGAGAUGGCUUUUAUUAGUUAAAUAAAACCAUUUAAAAUGUGCUAACUAUAGAG
ensembl:lncRNA